GCGCUGCUGACGGCGUGAUCUCUCUGUCCGUUGCUCCUGUGCUGUUUCACAUCUUCGACGCUGACGGUGACGGUGAAAUCACACUUGAUGAAUGGUUUAUUACUCUUCCACAGGUAAACGAUGGCAUCCAAAACGAGAUUAUGGCCUUAUAUACAGCUUAACAGGCUGAUACAUGCGACACCUGACGGAGGAAAGGAGCUGAUGCUUCAGUAACUAUGGCUAUACAACAGCAAGACACCUGACAGAGACUUCUAAUAAAAUUCAAACAAAUGAA